CUGAUACCAACUGAUACGAGCUCGUUUCUAUGAAAUAACGAGUCGUAAUAUUUCCCGAUCGAAAUUAGGUAGUGUCGGCCUUGAAAUAAAUUCAAGUCUUGGUGUUUAAAAUUAAAUGGCUUUGGGAAACAAGGGAGUUUGAUGGAGUGUUGUUUGCUAGAUAUUUCAAUGAAAACAAGUCGAACCCUUAUUAGCAAAUAAGGACCCGGGGCUUAAGGUUUCAAAGAAAGAAAGGAUUUGGGAUAAAACUGAGACCCUCUAUUUAGCAAAAUAGGAACCUACGGUAUGAAGAACGCCACACCAAUGGUGAUAAGUUCGAAACAAAGUCAGAUUGACGCCACUUGUUGAAGAUAAGUCAAUUUGAGCUUUGGAGAAUUAAGAGAGUGAAUUGCCUCACUAAAAUGAUAUUUCAUUCAGAAAUUUGUCAAAAGUCCUUUUACAAGAAAUUGAGCAACUAUUUAUAGUCUAAUGUCUAGUAGCUGAAUGGACAUAUUCUAGACUUAAUUUCUAAGCAAAAAUUGAACAAAAAUUCAGCUUAAAUUCAUGUAUAUGCUUGCAUCAAGGUUCGGCUGAAUAGAGACCAAGGAAGAGCUUUCAAUGAACUUGGAAAAAAUGGCAGCAGCUACAUUCGGCCAAUGGAGUUUAAUGAGGUCAUUCAUGAAGCAACUAUUGAUGAAAAAUUACCAGCAUUAAUUGGCAACUUGAACAGCCAUUUAGAAGUGUGAAUGGACGAUUUUGAAGAGCCUUGAAGUGUGAACAUGGCUGAACCGAAUAGACAUAGUGUGAACAGCUUUUAUAUGCCCUUGGGAAGAGAAUCGGCCAAGCUUGAAAGGAUGAAAAGCUUGAUCACUCUUGGCCGAAUAGUUGCCUUGAAGAACACCAAAAUUAAUCAGCUUUUAAUGCAUUAGUUCAGUUGCACAUGCAUCUUCAAAUUCAUUGAAUCUCCAUGCAUGAAUCUGCCCAAUUCAUCUCCAAAUUCGGCUGCACCUAAAAAUAAACAUGAACUUAAUUAAUUUCAAGCAAAUUCAUCUGAACUAAAUUAAAAUAUAAUGUGAACAUCCUAAAUAACAUUGAGACAACUUAAAUAUUAACAAAUCAUAACACAUAAAUUCGGCUAGACAAAUUUAAAACAUGUAAUAAUUUAGACAAACUAAAUGACAUCAAGACAUCUUUAAUUUAACUAAAUCAAGACAUAUUAAACACUUAAAUUAAUUAAGACAUAUUUAAAAGCUGUAAUGAAACUUAUUUAAAUGUUUAUUUAAAUUGUCUAAAUUCCAGCAUCAAAUUAAUUAGCUAGAAUGAAAUUCAGCUUCAAAGAAGUUGAAUAUGUUCAGCUCAUUUUUAAACUCCUUGCUAUCAUUUUCCUCAACCCGUUCCACCAUUGCUAAAAUAGCAUCUUUGAAUCGUUUAGCUCUAGCUCGCGUUAUUGGACCAAUGGGUAGCUUAAUGGCUUCUUGUUCGUUCUCCAUUUGGUUCGUAGGCAAGCUCACAUUAGCCACGUGAUACGGGGUUGCGCGCGGACCAAGAUCGAGUUGCCAAGUCACGAGAAACUCCUACGAAAACCCUAAACAAUUAGAUCUGAAAUGAAACAGAAAAUUAAAAGAUUAGAUUUUUAAAUUUUUAGAUCUGAAAUAAAAUCCCCAAAUCAGCAAAGAAUCAAAUUGAGAAUAGAAAUAAGUGUUAGGGUUCUUGAAACCCUCAAGGAGAUUGUGAUUCUGCCCAAUUGAACACCAAGAUAGUUUUCCCCAAAUUUCGGCAAUCUAAUUUCUCCC
rnacentral:lncRNA from 1 species